rnacentral:rRNA from 1 species
AGGAUGAACGCUGGCGGCGUGCCUAACACAUGCAAGUCGAACGUCCUGUCUCGCAAGAGGCAGGGAGUGGCGGACGGGUGAGUACCACGUGGGUCAUCUACCGUGAGGUGAGGAAUACCGGCGAGAAAUCGCCGACAAGACCGCAUAGCCUCGGUGCAAGUCGAGGAAAGCUCUCUCGAGAGAGGGAGCGCCACACGAGGAGCCUGCGCCCGAUUAGCUAGCUGGUGGAGUAACGGUUCACCAGGGCGACGAUCGGUAGCUGGUCUGAGAGGACGAUCAGCCACACUGGGAUUGAGAACGGCCCAGACUCCGUACGGGGGGCAGCAGUGAGGAAUUUUCGUCAAUGGGGCAACCCUGAACGAGCAACGCCGCGUGCAGGAAGAAGGUUUUCGGAUCGUAAACUGCUUUUCGUCGGGGAAGAGAACGGACGGUACCCGAGGAAUCAGCCCCGGCUAACUACGUGCCAGCAGCCGCGGUAA